AUGCACGCUGGCGGCGUGCUUAACACAUGCAAGUCGAACGGUGAAGCUCCAGCUUGCUGGAGUGGAUCAGUGGCGAACGGGUGAGUAACACGUGAGCAACCUGCCCCUGACUCUGGGAUAACAGCCGGAAACGGCUGCUAAUACCGGAUAUGCACCAUGAACGCAUGUUCUGUGGUGGGAAAGAUUUUUCGGUUGGGGAUGGGCUCGCGGCCUAUCAGCUUGUUGGUGAGGUAAUGGCUCACCAAGGCGUCGACGGGUAGCCGGCCUGAGAGGGUGACCGGCCACACUGGGACUGAGACACGGCCCAGACUCCUACGGGAGGCAGCAGUGGGGAAUAUUGCACAAUGGGCGAAAGCCUGAUGCAGCAACGCCGCGUGAGGGAUGACGGCCUUCGGGUUGUAAACCUCUUUUAGCAGGGAAGAAGCGAGAGUGACGGUACCUGCAGAAAAAGCGCCGGCUAACUACGUG
rnacentral:rRNA from 1 species